rnacentral:lncRNA from 1 species
AUGGCCUCCAAUUAAACUACAUUGCAAACAAGGGGAAAGAAACAGAAUGGAAAGAGUAAAAAAGUUGGAGAAUUUGUGGUGGAAAAAGUAGUAGAUUGAUGUGUAGUGAAAGGGAAAGUGGAUUAUUUCCUCAAGUGGAAGGGAUUUACAGAUGCUACAGACCUACAGAUGGAAGAACGUCAUGAUACAAUGCUUGGUUACCUGAAGAAAAUUUAGAUUCUCCAGAGUUAAUUGAAGCAUUUAUUAAUUCCCAAAUUAAGUAAAGAAAAGGAAUUACAAAAUACUUUAUCUCACAGUAAAUCUGAUGAGAGCAAAUCAAAGGAAAGAGAUGCUGCUGAGAAACCAAGAGGGCUGGCUAGAGGUCUUAAUCCUGAAAGAAUAAUUGGUGCCACAGACAGCAGUGGAGAAUCGAUGUUUCUCAUGAGGUGGAAAGACUCAAAUGGGGCCAACUUGAUGCUGGCAAAAGAGACAAGUGUGAAGGGUCCUUAAAUUGUAAUUGCUUUUUAUGAAGAAAGACUAACUUGGCAUUCUCGUCCAGAAGAUGAU